UACAGAGGUCCCGAGCGUUGUUCGGAUUCACUGGGCGUAAAGGGUGCGUAGGUGGCGGGGUAAGUCAGAUGUGAAAUCUCGGAGCUCAACUCCGAAACUGCAUUUGAUACUGCCUUGCUUGAGUACUGGAGAGGAGAUUGGAAUUUACGGUGUAGCAGUGAAAUGCGUAGAUAUCGUAAGGAAGACCAGUGGCGAAGGCGAAUCUCUGGACAGUUACUGACACUGAGGCACGAAGGCCAGGGAGCAAACGGG
rnacentral:rRNA from 1 species